CAUUUUUAUAUUACAUGAAUAUAAAAGUACCUAUUUACUUAAUUUAGUUGUUUUUAAUUUUUAGAUUGCAGUUAACAAGAAAUGCAAUGAAGCAUGAAUGCAAUAUAUAAAUCUAAAUUCCUCGGCGAGGCGCAUCAUCGUACAUAAGGCACAGUAAAAUAAACCGCGUUUACUAAUCGUUACAGGUUAAAACCGGCUACAAAUGGUAAUAAAAUAAAGGGUAAAAAUACUACAGUUUUAUCUACACACUGAUCAAUAGAAUGGAAUGAAAUGGAUUAAAAUGGAAUAGAAUGGGAUAGAGCAGAAUAGAAACAAUUUUUAUUAAAAUAGAUUUGUUUACAAGCUUUUUUAAAUCAUAAUUUUUUCUUGAUUUGACUACUGGGUUCGAGGUGUUCUUAUCUGCUGAGAAGAAACCGUAAGAAACUCAAUGAUAACAUUUAAAAUCGAAUGGAAAAUACAGUUGACGUGAAAGCUCUUCCUCUUUUGAAAUCGUUACGAAGAGAGGUUCCACAAAUACAAAUACAUACUUCCUAACUCACAACAGAAUCCGGAAUCAACAAUUUGGUGAUAAUCACAUUCUACAACUGAAGCAGGCGUGUGCCGUCGCAUACGUUCACCUCGUCAACAUUUCUAUAGAUGUAGGAAAUUUGUCAGAACAGAAGCAGGUAGCGAUCAAUGGUCUUAUAUUAAUCUAAAAGAAAAAACGUUGAAAUACACACGUCGUUCCGCCGUCUAGACUCGUGGUAAAUCCUGGCGGACCCUAUUCGAUACGAGGCGAUCUCCCCGAGGAGGAAGCCUAUGUUCAACGACUGACAUGGCACGGACCCUUCGCUGUAUGGGCUCAGCUCGCACCAGACUGAUUUUUUUAUAUUAGCUACGUAUAUUAAAAAAAGUUAAUAUUUAAUAAGUCGAAUAAAAGCAAUAAAUUAGUACAAGAUUUAUAUUCUCUAUGGAAAUAAAAGUUA